UACGUAGGGGGCAAGCGUUGUCCGGAUUCAUUGGGCGUAAAGAGCGUGUAGGCGGCCAGGUAGGUCGGUUGUGAAAACUGGAGGCUCAACCUUCAGAGGUCGACCGAAACCAUCUGGCUAGAGUCCGGGAGAGGAGAGUGGAAUUCCUGGUGUAGCGGUGAAAUGCGCAGAUAUCAGGAAGAACACCCGUGGCGAAGGCGACUUCCUGGCCCGUUCUUGACGCUGAGGCGCGAAAGCUAGGGGAGCAAACGGG
rnacentral:rRNA from 1 species